AUUGAACGCUGGCGGCAGGCCUAACCCAUGCAAGUCGAACGAGUGGCGGACGGGUGAGUAAUGUCUGGUCAACUUCCCGAUGUAGGUGGAUAACUACUGGAAACGGUAUCUAAUACCGCAUACUCUCUGUUUAGCCUAUAUGGGAUUAGCUGGUGGGUGGGGUAACGGCUCAUAUUGGCGGAGAUCCCUCGCUGGUCUGAGAGGAUGACGAGCCAAGUGGGCACGGAGACACGUCCCAAACUCCUACGGGGGGCGGCGGGGGGAAAUAUUCGACAAGGGGCGAAGGCCGGAUACGGCCAUGCCGCGUGGAUGGAGAAGGCCUUGGGUUUGAAAGGUCCGUUCAGCGGGGAGACGUUACUCGCAGAAUAAGCAACGGCUAACUCCGUGCCAGCAGCCGCGGUAAUUC
rnacentral:rRNA from 1 species